UCCCUGAUGGCUCAGACGGUAAAAGCGUCUGCUCGCAAUGCAGGAGACCCAGGUUUGAUCCCUGGGUUGGGAA
rnacentral:tRNA from 1 species